GACGGGGGGCAAGUGUUCUUCGGAAUGACUGGGCGUAAAGGGGCACGUAGGCGGUGAAUCGGGUUGAAAGUGAAAGUCGCCAAAAAGUGGCGGAAUGCUCUCGAAACCAAUUCACUUGAGUGAGACAGAGGAGAGUGGAAUUUCGUGUGUAGGGGUGAAAUCGUAGAUCUACGAAGGAACGCCAAAAGCGAAGGCAGCUCUCUGGGUCCCUACCGACGCUGGGGAUGCGAAAGCUGGGGAGCGAACAGG
rnacentral:rRNA from 1 species